UACGUAGGGUGCAAGCGUUGUCCGGAAUUAUUGGGCGUAAAGGGCUCGUAGGCGGUCCAUCGCGUCGGGAGUGAAAAGCUGGGGCUUAACCCCAGUCCUGCUUCCGAUACGGGUGGACUAGAGGUAGGUAGGGGAGAACGGAAUUCCUGGUGUAGCGGUGAAAUGCGUAGAUAUCGAGAGGAACACCUGCGGCGAAGGCGGGUUGCUGGGCUGAUACUGACGCUGAGGCGCGAAAGCCAGGGGAGCGAACGGG
rnacentral:rRNA from 1 species